AGUUCAAAACUUUCACUUUGGAAAUUUUAAAACAACAAAUAACAAUAAUUAAUUAGAUUUAUCAUUAUAAUUGCCAGGUGAACCUAUAGUAGUGACUAUGGUAACAUACAAAUAUCUUAAUUAUUCUACAGAAUAAUUCCAUGGAUGAUGUGUCAAUCUAGUAUGAACUAAUGUGCACAGAAUACAAAGUGUCAUUUGGCAAUGAUAUAAAUUGUUCCAAUGAUGCCAUUACUGUUGCCACCAAAAGUUGAUGAGAAACUGUUGAAAGUGGAACAUUGCCUACAACUCCAGAAAGAAUUUCAAUGGACGGUGCUGUAAACUAGAACUUGGACAUUGAAAGUUUAGACCAGGACAAUAGGCAAUUCCAGCUUUUAGUUUAUGCGUACAGGGGACGAUGGGAAGUAAGG